AACGAACGCUGGCGGCAUGCCUAACACAUGCAAGUCGAACGAGACCUUCGGGUCUAGUGGCGCACGGGUGCGUAACGCGCGGGAACCUGCCCUUAGGUUCGGAAUAACUCCCCGAAAGGGGUGCUAAUACCGGAUAAUGUCUUCGGACCAAAGAUUUAUCGCCUUUGGAUGGGCCCGCGUUGGAUUAGCUAGUUGGUAGGGUAAAAGCCUGCCAAGGCGACGAUCCAUAGCUGGUCUGAGAGGAUGAUCAGCCACACUGGGACUGAGACACGGCCCAGACUCCUACGGGAGGCAGCAGUGGGGAAUAUUGGACAAUGGGCGAAAGCCUGAUCCAGCAAUGCCGCGUGAGUGAUGAAGGCCUUAGGGUUGUAAAGCUCUUUUACCCGGGAUGAUAAUGACAGUACCGGGAGAAUAAGCUCCGGCUAACUCCGUG
rnacentral:rRNA from 1 species